AGUGAACGCUGGCGGUAGGCCUAACACAUGCAAGUCGAACGGCAGCACAGUAAGAGCUUGCUCUUACGGGUGGCGAGUGGCGGACGGGUGAGGAAUACAUCGGAAUCUACUUUUUCGUGGGGGAUAACGUAGGGAAACUUACGCUAAUACCGCAUACGACCUACGGGUGAAAGCAGGGGAUCUUCGGACCUUGCGCGAUUGAAUGAGCCGAUGUCGGAUUAGCUAGUUGGCGGGGUAAAGGCCCACCAAGGCGACGAUCCGUAGCUGGUCUGAGAGGAUGAUCGGCCACACUGGAACUGAGACACGGUCCAGGCUCCUACGGGAGGCAGCAGUGGGGAAUAUUGGACAAUGGGCGCAAGCCUGAUCCAGCCAUACCGCGUGGGUGAAGAAGGCCUUCGGGUUGUAAAGCCCUUUUGUUGGGAAAGAAAAGCAGCAGGUUAAUACCCCGCUGUUCUGACGGUACCCAAAGAAUAAGCACCGGCUAACUUCAUG
rnacentral:rRNA from 1 species